CACGUAGGGUGCGAGCGUUGUCCGGAAUUAUUGGGCGUAAAGAGCUCGUAGGCGGUGUGUCGCGUCGGCCGUGAAAACCUGCAGCUUAACUGUGGGCGUGCGGUCGAUACGGGCAUCACUGGAGUUCGGCAGGGGAGACUGGAAUUCCUGGUGUAGCGGUGAAAUGCGCAGAUAUCAGGAGGAACACCGGUGGCGAAGGCGGGUCUCUGGGCCGAUACUGACGCUGAGGAGCGAAAGUGUGGGGAUCAAACAGG
rnacentral:rRNA from 1 species